ensembl:lncRNA
AUGGACCCAGCAGCUUUCAAUCCUUCUGAGGAGCUUAAAGAUGACAUUAUUUACAGCGUGGAGCUGCUAAUAAACCUGUGGCUGGAGCAUGAGGGAGAAGAAUUUCUCAGAUUAGUUUCUGGGCUACCCUGGCUGCUCAGUGCACUUCACCCGCUCGCACAGGAUUUUAUUCUGAAUGAGCUUCACCUCCAUCCUCUGGCCACUACUACUCAACCAGUAACUACGGCCUCUCUUCCUGGCAUGACGGAGGAUGUUCUGCCUGGCCCGUCGGCCCAGCCAUUGAAAGGCCGUCAACGCCCCUCGCCACAGUCGGACCCCGGGAUUUCAGAACAGCCGGCUGUGGUGAGUAAAAAGAACAAUAUUACUGGUUUGAACUUUGGGACUUUUUCUUCUGGGAUUGUCCGGGGUGUGUCGAUGGGAGCUAAUACGCGUAGUUUACCUGCCUUUGUAGUUACUGACCUCUCCCAGGUUGGCAUUUUUGAGACUUCUGAGAAAACAAAUGGCUGUGUUUCUUCUCCUUCUCCUGAGCCUGGAUUAACUCUCUCUGAGCCUGUUAACCCCGUAUCAGCUAUCCCUGAGUCUGCUAAAGCUGUGGCUUUCACCCCAGAGGCUGAGUUUCCUCCCUCGGCUGACUCUGGACCCCUAGAGACUAAAAAGCCAGCGUUGCCCGAGUCGUUUAAAAGUUCCACCGAGUCAGCUCAGUUAGCUGACCAGCAGCCUUUAGUUCAGUUUCCAGUGUCACCUGCUCAGCUGCCAUUUGCUCAGUCUCCAGUGUCACCUGCUCAGCAGCCACUAGCUCAGUCUCCAGUGUCACCUGCUCAGCUGCCACUAGCUCAGUCUCCAGUGUCACCUGCUCAGCAGCCACUAGCUCAGUCUCCAGUGUCACCUGCUCAGCAGCCACUAACUCAGUCUCCAGUGUCACCUGCUCAGCUGCCACUAGCUCAGUCUCCAGUGUCACCUGCUCAGCAGCCACUAGCUCAGUCUCCAGUGUCACCUGCUCAGCAGCCACUAGCUCAGUCUCCAGUGUCACCUGCUCAGCUGCCACUAGCUCAGUCUCCAGUGUCACCUGCUCAGCAGCCACUAGCUCAGUCUCCAGUGUCACCUGCUCAGCAGCCACUAGCUCAGUCUCCAGUGUCACCUGCUCAGCAGCCACUAGCUCAGUCUCCAGUGUCACCUGCUCAGCAGCCACUAGCUCAGUCUCCAGUGUCACCUGCUCAGCUGCCACUAACUCAGUCUCCAGUGUCACCUGCUCAGCAGCCACUAGCUCAGUCUCCAGUGUCACCUGCUCAGCAGCCACUAGCUCAGUCUCCAGUGUCACCUGCUCAGCAGCCACUAGCUCAGUCUCCAGUGUCACCUGCUCAGCAGCCACUAGCUCAGUCUCCAGUGUCACCUGCUCAGCAGCCACUAGCUCAGUCUCCAGUGUCACCUGCUCAGCAGCCACUAGCUCAGUCUCCAGUGUCACCUGCUCAGCAGCCACUAGCUCAGUCUCCAGUGUCACCUGCUCAGCUGCCACUAACUCAGUCUCCAGUGUCACCUGCUCAGCAGCCACUAGCUCAGUCUCCAGUGUCACCUGCUCAGCAGCCACUAGCUCAGUCUCCAGUGUCACCUGCUCAGCAGCCACUAGCUCAGUCUCCAGUGUCACCUGCUCAGCAGCCACUAACUCAGUCUCCAGUGUCACCUGCUCAGCAGCCACUAGCUCAGUCUCCAGUGUCACCUGCUCAGCAGCCACUAGCUCAGUCUCCAGUGUCACCUGCUCAGCAGCCACUAGCUCAGUCUCCAGUGUCACCUGCUCAGCAGCCACUAGCUCAGUCUCCAGUGUCACCUGCUCAGCAGCCACUAGCUCAGUCUCCAGUGUCACCUGCUCAGCAGCCACUAGCUCAGUCUCCAGUGUCACCUGCUCAGCUGCCACUAGCUCAGUCUCCAGUGUCACCUGCUCAGCAGCCACUAGCUCAGUCUCCAGUGUCACCUGCUCAGCUGCCACUAGCUCAGUCUCCCGUGUCCCCGCUACCUGUAGCUCAGUCUUCGGUGUCCCCGCUACCUGUAGCUCAGUCCCCCGUGUCCCCGCUGGCUCAGUCGCUCAUUCUCUCACCAGUCUCACUCAUUCAUUCUAUGCAGGGAGAGAAUCUCAUGAUAACCUUUGGUGUUUCUCAUGGACUGGCUGCUUUUAAGAUGGUUACUCCCUCCAGGGCCUCCCCAGAGGCCGGGUUUCAGCCCGCAGCUGAUUCUGGAUCCCUGGAGGAUAAGACGCCCCCUGAGAACUGGACCGUGUUAGUGCUGCCUGGACAGAGCCAAUGCCCUGAGCGGCUUCAAUCACCUUCGUGUCUGCCAGAGGACUCCAUGCCUGCUGGCUUUGUGUUAGCCUCCGCUGGAGGGUCCAAGGGACCUGUCCGGUCUUCAUCUUCGGUCUCCGCUGGAGGGUCCAAUGGGCCCGUCCGGCCUUCGUCUGUCUUCGCUGGGGGGUCCGAGGGACCGCUUCAGCCUUCUGUCUCUGCUGGAGGGUCCGAGGGACCUGUCCGGUCUUCGUCUUCGGUCUCCACUGGAGGGUCCGAGGGGCCGCUUCAGCCUUCUCUCUCCGUUGGAGGGUCAGAGGAACCUGUCCGGCCUUCGUCUUCAGUCUCCGCUGGAGGGUCCAAGGGGCCCGUCCGGCCUUCGUGUGUCUCCGCUGGAGGGUCCGAGGGACCACUUCAGCCUUCGUCUACCUCAGCUGGAGGGUCCGAGGGCCCGUCCGGCCUUCGUCCGUCUUCGCUGGGGGUCCGAGGGACCGCUUCAGCCUUCUGUCUCUGCUGGAGGGUCCGAGGGACCUGUCCGGUCUUCGUCUUUGGUCUCCGCUGGAGGGUCCAAGGGGCCCGUCCGGCCUUCGUGUGUCUCCACUGGAGGGUCCGAGGGGCCGCUUCAGCCUUCUCUCUCCGUUGGAGGGUCAGAGAAACCUGUCCGGCCUUCGUCUUCAGUCUCCGCUGGAGGGUCCAAGGGCCCGUCCGGCCUUAG